UUGGUCGCAAGUUUCGUUUAAUGUACGAUCAAUAUUACUGCGACCAACAGGCGAUGUGAUGUUUAUACUAAAUGAUAUAUCAUGUGUCUAUAUGAUCAGUUAUUACAUGGUUUAACCUAGUGCACGCGACCUUUCUUUUCAGAUGGUAUUCGUAUAUGAUAGCAGACAUUAACAGAUCGCGUCCAUUGUAACUAUUUUACGAGUGGAGAGAUAUGCGAUGUAGACGUUAACUACGCAAUUGAAAAUGGCUUCGUUAUUUGCUAGUUCUAGUUCAGUAAAACAGAUAAAAGGAGGUGAGUGGAAGUACAAGAUCUACUUCGACCCCGAUGCGGGCAAAAAAAAAGGAUGGAAAUACGACCAUAUUACAGACAAGAUCCUUAUGGUUUUGCUAAGAGAAAUCGUUGGAUCGAACGAGUUGAUUAUAAAAGUUUGGGCAUAUAAAGUACGUUUAUUUAAAUUCAUACCCAAUCUGUUCUUGUUAUAUCACAUGUUUAUUGUAUUUCAAACUCAAAAUUGGUUUUGGUCCAUCGAAAAGCAUUCUGAUGGGAUAACAAUUCAACGAAGUAAGAAAGAGGCCGACGUAAGAGACAACUACAGACAAACACAGCGAAAGUCUGGACCAACACUAAUGAGGCAAUCUCGUGGAAGAACCACCAUUUUCAAUUUAAUUGAUUGGCUCUAUCAUACCAAUAAACUAAAACAUGAGUAUCAUGUCCUUCAUAGUAACUGCAAGGAUUUUGCUUCAGAAGUAUAUAAAUAUGUCGGAAUUGCUUUGUUUGACUUCUCAUUUUUGUGGUUUCCAUCUAUAGAUUUCUAUGAGGAUGAUGAUCAUAGUCAGGUGCCGAUGAAGUUGGACGGCCCACAAUUGCAAAAGCAAUUUGUAUCAUUGUGUUUGAAAAUAAGUUCCAACAUGUUUAAGAAAGACUGACAAUACACUUAAUGCACUGGAUGUUCCUAUAAUCAUGUGCAUAACGUCACAUAUGAAUAGCUUUUUACCGUUAGUUAUAUUUAUAAUCACCUAAUUAAAACAUCCGUUAACGUUAUUUCUACGAAAGUUAAAACAAAUUACAGACGUGCACCGUUAUUUCGAAAUCGUCAAUGUAUAUGUUCGUUUUUAUGAUUUGUUUACUUGUAACAGAACAAAACGAAUGAUUUCAUACAAGACUGUAAACUGCGAUAAUUAGCUGAAAAUAAGUUAUGACUAGUUAGUUAGUUUGGCAACAAGUUCUUCUGUUGCUCAUAUAUGAGCAAAUGGUUCCGUGUUUAUUAAUUGAUUGCUGUGGAUAUUUAGAAUUAAUCAAAGGAUUCUGUUAAUUAUCGUAAAUAUGUAUAUUGUAUUCAAGAUUCAUAAAGCUAUUUCCAAAGUGUUUUACCGACUUCAAUUAAUGGAUGCCGAAUGCAAUAAUUUAUUGAUAAUUGGUGACGCAGUAAAAAGGUAUCAAACGAUAUUAUGCAUCGACUGUGUAUCAAUUAUUUAUUAAUGUAUUGUUUAUUUGUUUUAAUAAAUAAACAUGUAUUUCCCUACAGUGAUAUCCAAUAAAUAAAUAUUUCCCCAUAUCGAAUCAAGACAUUUCAUCUUGAGGUUUAAGGAUUAAGGAAAGGCACAAUUUCCCAAUGUCGAGUUACAAUACAUUUUAUUUUAAGGUUUAUUUAGAGAAAUGGUAAAAGAAGAUUUAUGAAUGUUUUUUUUUUUCAUUUUUUCUAAAUUCAAUAUAUUACAUACACUGUAUACAUGUAUAUGAUCAUACAACAUAGUGAUUGUACAAAGCAAUAAAGUUCAGACAUGUUAUACAAGAUAUGCUAAUAUAUAUUUUUUUAAAGAGAAAAGAAAAGAACAACAGAAGAAGAGUUAUGAAAAAUUAUGAUUUGUAUAAAGUCGGAAGAAAGCAUACUGGACUUGUGUGUUUUCUUGUAUUUUCACAAUGAUCUUAUAAGAUUGAAAAAAAAAUAUACAAACAUAUUUUAGAAAAAUAAACUAACAUUAGAGUGAAAUGUAUAUAAGUGGACAAACAUUAUGAGAAUUUAAUCCGAUUCCAUUUUUGUUCAAAGAUUUGUAAUGUGUCAUGACUGAGGGCUAUUUCUUUCUCAAUUUGGAUUUUUAGUUUAAGACUAUGGACAAAACAAUUACAAUUUGGUACUUGUUUUUUGUACUUCAUGUUAAAGAUAAAAUAUUUCAUCAAUAUAAGAAUAAAAUUCACUAUAUUAUUACAGUCAAUUGAUUUCAAUGAGUAAAUUCCGAAACUUUGAGUUAGAUAAUUUGUAUUUAAAGAGAUAUUUAUUUGUAGCUAUAAUUCUAUAAAUGUAUUUAUAUUGAAAACGUCUCAGUGUGCUUUCAAUAGUUACUUUAUAUGUUGUGGUAAAUAUGUGUUUCAAAUUAAGUUCAUGUUCUCCAAAAAGGACUUGCCAUUUAUUUUGGGUUUUGGAGUUUUCUGUAGGGUUUUUAAUUUGUAGUGUGUAAAAUAUUUUAUUCGUUUUGUUUUUUCUUCCAAGUAUGUUUUCUACGAAUGUUGUUUGAGUGCAUCGUGUAUUAUUUGUAUUGAUUUCAGAUUUAAUAUGCAUGGGUAUGCUUUUGAUUAGUGUGUAGUACUUCAGAAAAUUAUUUGAAGGUAUUCCGUAUAUGUAGCAUAUAUCAUCAAAAGAGUAGAAAUCCUUAAUUCUGUAGUCAUAUAAUUGGUCGACAUAUUUAAUGCUUCGUUCAAACCAAUCUUUAUAGAAAAACGUCUUAUUGUUUGAAGUUAUGUCUUUAUUGUUCCAUAAAAUAGUUAUACUGCUGUUUGGGUUUCUAGGUUAUGAGUGACAUCACUCCAUGCUGAUAGAACAUCAGACAGAAAUAUGUUUUCGUGUGCAAUUUCAUGUAAGAUAGUAUUGCUGAUGUUACAUUCAAAGAGUAAGGAGUCACCAUAUUUUUUUAGGAUUUUCUGGUAGAAUAAUUUCCAUUUACUCGUAUUGGUAUUAUCUAGGUAUCUUUUAGCCCAGCUGCAUUUGAUUGCAUUCAAGAAUGAGUCAAUGUUCGUUAAUUGGAUACCUUCAUUUUCUACAGAUUGAAUUAACUGAGUUCGUUUUAUUUUAUCAGGCUUACCGUCCCAUGUGAAAUUAAAUAUUGCUGAUUUUAUAUCGUUAAUAACAUCCUUUGGUGGAUUUGGGAGAACUGUUAGUACAUAAAUUAAUUUAGGAAGUGUAAAAACGUUUUCAAUACUGGGUUUUUUCGAUUAGUGUAAGUUUACGGUGAUGCCAUGAUUUUAAGCAGUUUUUAAAAUUCUGUAAUUUAAUUAGUAUGUUUUUAAGAACUGUAUUCUUUUCACUAUUUGUGAAAGUAAUUCCUAACGUUGUGGCUUCAUCGGAUGUCCAAUUAAAUUUCAUUUCUUUUUUAUAGAGGACAUUACUUUGUUUUAAUUUACCUACUCGUAGCACAGUACAUUUACUUUUUUUUAGUUUAAUACCUGAUGUCAUUCCGUAAAGGGUUAGUGACUCCAUAAGGUUAUGAAAGGAAUCGUAAUUGUCGUUUAAAAACAAGUUGCAUCGUCAGCAAAUAUGGACUGUUUGAUAUUUGAUUUUCAACAUGUUUUCGUUUAUAGAGGGUUUCGAAAAAUAAACGUUGUUCUUCUAGUAUUUGAGUAUUGUUUGUUAUAUCUUUGCCAUUGACUACUAAUUUGUGUACAGUUUUUUGUUCACUUCUACGUUUUUAAAUGUUUGCGAAGUAUUUUGUAUUUUUUUUCAUUGUGGUCAACAUGCUGUGCACGCGCUCUUAGUAUUAUUCCAUUGAUAUGUGUAUGAUAGAUUCCAUCUAAUAUUUGUUUUUUUUUAAAAUGUUAUUUCAUUUUCAAUGUCGGUGGUAUCAUUUGUGUUUGUUUGAUUUAAUUGUUUUUCAAGUGUUUCAAUGGUUUUGAUGGUUUCAGUUUCAAGUUUGUGUGUUUCUUUUUGUUUAAAUGAUGUGUAUCUAAUUGUUGUGUUACGUAUAUUUCCUUUAAUUACUUCCCAUAAGGUGUUUGGGUUUGCAUCUUUAUUAUUUUGAACUGUAUUUAAUAUUUCUUGUUUUAUUUGUGUUUGAUAUUGUGUAUCCAAUAAAAUGCUAUUGUUAAUUUUAAAGUAUCCUGGGCCUCUUUCAGGUUGUAUAUUGUGCAGUUUAAGUUCAAGUAGAGAGUUGUCAGUCAUAAAUCCUGGUUUUAUGUUACAUGUGUCAAUAAUGUUGCAAAGAGAUUCAGAUAUAAAAAAAUAGUCUA